rnacentral:rRNA from 1 species
GAUGAACGCUGGCGGCGUGCUUAACACAUGCAAGUCUAACGGAAAGGCCCAAGCUUGCUUGGGUACUCGAGUGGCGAACGGGUGAGUAACACGUGGGUGAUCUGCCCUGCACUUCGGGAUAAGCCUGGGAAACUGGGUCUAAUACCGGAUAGGACGAUGGUUUGGAUGCCAUUGUGGAAAGUUUUUUCGGUGUGGGAUGAGCUCGCGGCCUAUCAGCUUGUUGGUGGGGUAAUGGCCUACCAAGGCGUCGACGGGUAGCCGGCCUGAGAGGGUGUACGGCCACAUUGGGACUGAGAUACGGCCCAGACUCCUACGGGAGGCAGCAGUGGGGAAUAUUGCACAAUGGGCGCAAGCCUGAUGCAGCGACGCCGCGUGGGGGAUGACGGCCUUCGGGUUGUAAACUCCUUUCGCUAGGGACGAAGCGUUUUUGUGACGGUACCUGGAGAAGAAGCACCGGCUAACUACGUG